CACACAGUAUGUUGCCAUGCC
rnacentral:miRNA from 10 species